GACGAACGCUGGCGGCGUGCUUAACACAUGCAAGUCGAGCGGUAAGGCCCUUUCGGGGGUACACGAGCGGCGAACGGGUGAGUAACACGUGGGCGACCUGCCCUUAGCUCUGGGAUAAGCCUGGGAAACUGGGUCUAAUACCGGAUAUGACUCCAUGACGCAUGUUGUGGGGUGGAAAGCCUUGUGCGGCUAGGGAUGGGCCCGCGGCCUAUCAGCUUGUUGGGUGGGGUGAUGGCCACCAAGGCGACGACGGGUAGCCGGCCUGAGAGGGCGACCGGCCACACUGGGACUGAGACACGGCCCAGACUCCUACGGGAGGCAGCAGUGGGGAAUCUUGCGCAAUGGGCGAAAGCCUGACGCAGCGACGCCGCGUGAGGGAUGACGGCCUGU
rnacentral:rRNA from 1 species